rnacentral:misc_RNA from 1 species
GAAAUGCGAUAAGUAAUGUGAAUUGCAGAAUUCAGUGAAUCAUCGAAUCUUUGAACGCACCUUGCGCUCCUUGGUAUUCCUUGGAGCAUGCCUGUUUGAGUAUCAUGAAAUCUUCAAAGUAAAUCUUUUGUUAACUCAAUUGGUUUCUACUUUGGUAUUGGAGGUCUUUGCAGCUUCACACCUGCUCCUCUUUGUUCAUUAGCUGGAUCUCAGUGUUAUGCUUGGUUCCACUCGGCGUGAUAAGUUAUCUAUCGCUGAGGACACUGUAAAAGGUUGCCAAGGUAAAUGCAGAUGAACCGCUUCUAAUAGUCCAGUGACUUGUACAAUACUUUUAUGAUCUGAUCUCAAAUCAGGUAGGACUACCCGCUGAACUUAAGC